AGGACAGUUUGAUGGUAUACGUGCCAACGAGGACGGCGCUGGUGCUGGCGCCCGAGGAGGAGACCGGGGGAUAAUGUAGUUGUAUGCGUUCUCCAUGCGAUGCAACAAUGGCUAGAGGGACUGGUUCGAAUAGUUAAUUGUCAGAUUAGUCAGUUAUGGAAAUUGUUCUAAUAAGUUAUAACGAUCCUGUAGUUACAUACUUGAGGUCAGAGCUGUUUUCGUGGUAAGAUAUGUAAUCUUUGCUGGG
rnacentral:sRNA from 2 species